UACGUAGGUGGCAAGCGUUAUCCGGAAUUAUUGGGCGUAAAGAGCGCGCAGGUGGUUGAUUAAGUCUGAUGUGAAAGCCCACGGCUUAACCGUGGAGGGUCAUUGGAAACUGGUCGACUUGAGUGCAGAAGAGGGAAGUGGAAUUCCAUGUGUAGCGGUGAAAUGCGUAGAGAUAUGGAGGAACACCAGUGGCGAAGGCGGCUUCCUGGUCUGUAACUGACACUGAGGCACGAAAGUGUGGGGAUCAAACAGGAUUAGAUACCCCGGUA
rnacentral:rRNA from 1 species